rnacentral:rRNA from 1 species
UACGAAGGGGGCUAGCGUUGCUCGGAAUUACUGGGCGUAAAGGGAGCGUAGGCGGAUAGUUUAGUCAGAGGUGAAAGCCCAGGGCUCAACCUUGGAAUUGCCUUUGAUACUGGCUAUCUUGAGUACGGAAGAGGUAUGUGGAACUCCGAGUGUAGAGGUGAAAUUCGUAGAUAUUCGGAGGAACACCAGUGGCGAAGGCGGCUCACUGGUCCGGUACUGACGCUGAGGUGCGAAAGCGUGGGGAGCAAACAGG